AGAGUUUGAUCAUGGCUCAGGACGAACGCUGGCGGCGUGCCUAACACAUGCAAGUCGAACGGAGAAUUUCAAAGAGCUUGCUCUAAGAGAUUUUUAGUGGCGGACGGGUGAGUAACGCGUGGGUAACCUACCCAUAAAGCCGGGACAACCCUUGGAAACGAGGGCUAAUACCGGAUAAUCUUAAGUCUUGGCAUCAAGGCAUAAGGAAAGGUGGCCGAUGAGAAUGCUACCGAUUAUGGAUGGACCCGCGUCUGAUUAGCUGGUUGGUGGGGUAAAGGCCUACCAAGGCGACGAUCAGUAGCCGGCCUGAGAGGGUGAACGGCCACACUGGGACUGAGACACGGCCCAGACACCUACGGGAGGCAGCAGUGGGGAAUCUUCCGCAAUGGACGAAAGUCUGACGGAGCAACGCCGCGUGUAUGAUGAAGGUCUUCGGAUUGUAAAGUACUGUCUUUGGGGAAGAACGAAGUACUUGAGAAAAUUGAGUACAAAUGACGGUACCCAAGGAGGAAGCCCCGGCUAACUACGUGCCAGCAGCCGCGGUAAUACGUAGGGGGCAAGCGUUGUCCGGAAUUAUUGGGCGUAAAGGGCGCGUAGGCGGAUAAUUAAGUCCGGUGUGAAAGAUCAGGGCUCAACCCUGAGAGUGCAUCGGAAACUGGCUAUCUUGAGGACAGGAGAGGAAA
rnacentral:rRNA from 1 species